rnacentral:rRNA from 1 species
GAUGAACGCUGGCGGCGUGCCUAAUACAUGCAAGUCGAGCGAACGGACGCGAAGCUUGCUUCUCUGAUGUUAGCGGCGGACGGGUGAGUAACACGUGUAUAACCUACCUAUAAGACUGGGAUAACUUCGGGAAACCGGCUCUAAUCCCGUAUAAUAUUUUGAACCGCAUUGUUCAAAAGUGAAAGACGGUCUUUCUGUCACUUCUAGAUGGAUCCGCGCUGCAUUAGCUAGUUGGUAAGGUAACGGCUUACCAAGGCAACGAUGCAUAGCCGACCUGAGAGGGGGAUAGGCCACACUGGAACGGAGACACGGACAAGAGUACUAAGGGAGGCAGCAGUAGGGAAUCUGCCGCAAUGGGCGAAAGCCUGACGGAGCAACGCCGCGUGAGUGAUGAAGGUCUUCGGAGCGUAAAAAUCGGUUAUGAGGGAAGAACAGAUGUGGAAGUAACUGUGCACAGAGUGACGGUACCUAAUCAGAAAGCCACGGCUAACUACGUG